rnacentral:lncRNA from 1 species
AGAUUAGAUUUGUUAAUAGAGGAGUAUGUUCAAAACACUUUUUAGAAAAAGAUAUUGACAGAACUUCACUUUCAUCUGUUCGUUUGAGAGACUGUGCUGUUCCAAUAGCUUAUGUCACACAGAAUCAGCUGAGAGAAGUGGUCUACAAAAAACCAGAAAGGAAACGGAAUAUGUGGCUACGAAAAGCAAAAGAAAGGUUUACAAAGCAAAUGUGACACAUUUUUUUUAUAAUAUUUAGGAAUGUCAGCAAAUUACAUUAAAAAAUGUAUGUAAAGAUUUUUUGCAAUAAAAAUGUUUAUAUUUA